AUGGAGAAAGUUGAGGGUUUGUUGCAGGGGUUGAAGCUGUCCGAUAAGGAGAUGAAAGGCAUCAAAAUCGGUUGGACGGGAUCUGGCAAGGUCGGCGUUGCGGAACCACAAGCCAUGGCUAAACUUCUAUCGGAGAAACCGGUGUUUGUCGAGGCCAUGGCAGAAACCUUGGGACGGAUCUGGUGCCCGAUCAGGGGUGUCGACUGCAAUGAGGUCGGUGAGAAUACUUUUUUGUUCACUUUCGGCCAGGAAUCUGGGAAGAGGAUGGCGUUAGACAAUGGGCCCUGGGAGUUCGGGAAUGAUUUGCUUGUUUUUGAAGAUUAUAUCCCAAGGAAGAGGAUUGAGGAUUACUCCUUUCAAACAAUUCCUAUAUGGGUGAGAGUACUCCGGCUGCCGCUGGGUUUGAUGACUAGGGAGGUGGGUGAAGUAAUCGGAGCAGAGAUAGGUGAGGUGAUUGAGGUGGAUUCUCGUCCGGAUGGCAAGGCUGUAGGCAAAUUCUUGCGUGUGAAAGUAAGGCUAAACAUAAAGAUGCCUCUCAUGAGAGGUUUCAGACUGGAUGUUGGGGAGGAGAAAGACAAGACAAACAAACAAGGGGUCUCUGUGGCAAUGGAGGAGGAUGAGAAAGACUGGUGUCCUUUCGAGUAUGAAUUCUUACCAGAAUUCUGCUAUGUCUGCGGUGUGAUCGGGCAUAGUGACAAAGCAUGUAGAAUCAGACUGAAGAAGGGGGGGAAGCAACAAUUUGGCCCGUGGCUGAGAGCCUAUAUUGUGAAACGUAGGGGGGGUGACGGUCAUUUAUCUUUGGGCGGCCGUGGUUCAAACAGCAGGACCCUAAGUAUGUGGAAAGGGAAGACUUCUUCGGGCAUUGAUGGGCCAUCGUGGCGUAAAGAGAUGAAGAGCCGGGCGGACAUGGUGGGAGAGGAAGAAAAUGGACAAAAGGUAAAUCCUCCGAAGAAGAAGAAUGUAGGUAGUUCAACGGAAGGCACACCGAAUCAGAUCACUUUUAACAAGGAGGGGGUUGUAACCAAAGCGGCAGCACAGAAAGGAGCUGCGGAUGGGUUAGUUUUGGAUCCCAAGAUCAUGAAAUCUAGCCCGGAACAGUUUGCCGCGGCUACUGUUCAGUCUGAUAAAAUAAUAAAUAGUGCUGAGAAGAGACGUGGAGAAUGUCCUACGGACAAGAAUAGUGGGGGGGAUCUCAGCGGUGGUACGUGUUCCGAGGCCAUGCAGAUGGAGGUUGUCGGCCAGUACAUGGUGGUGGAUAGUACUAAUGGGAAAGGGGUCAUUUGUACCGAGGCCAUGCAAAACAAUAUUUUAGCAGCAUCUGAUAUCCCCAAUCUACAGCCACAUGGGCAGCCCAGUGUAGGUACAGCUCUCGUGAACAUGCAUGUUACUAAUGGAAAAGGCAAUGUGAAGGGAAAUGGGGGUACGUACAAAAAGCUCAAAGGGAGAAAUUACAAUGGUGGGUCUGGUGUGGUAGUCAGUUCAGUUGGGAAGAAGAGGGGAGCCAGUGGGGAGGACAUGGACUGCGAGACAGAUCUGAAGAAAUACAAGUCUAGUGAACAGAGGAGUGAAGCGGUGACCGUGAACGACAGUAAUGCAGGGCUGGAGGAGCAGCCCUGCGAUCCGCGAUGA
rnacentral:rRNA from 1 species